rnacentral:tRNA from 2 species
ACCCCGGUAGCUCAAAUGGAAGAGCGAGGCUCUCCUAAAGCCUAGGUUAGGGGUUCGAGUCCCUUCCGGGGUACAA